CCACACCAGGAGGAGGCCCGAGGGAAAAAAGCCAAGAAGGCUCCAAUCCAAGUGCGACUGCUCCUGACAGUGACCUUUCAGACAAGGUCACGCUUUCUUGAGUGGCUUUCUCACAGAUCCGUUGAAGCACGCUGAGAGGUGUCUCCUGCUGGACUUCUCCAGGAUGGUCCCAUCUGCCUUCUUCCUCUGGGGUCCACUACCACCAUGCCCCGGGAGGCCUGUUCUUCCUGCUUGUUCUAGCCUCAAGCGGGCUCUCCGCCUCCACCCUCCCCUCUCCUUCCUGGACACGUGGUUUUAUUUUUAACCUGAGUUUACAGGCAGGAUCUGGAAGAGCCAGUUUGUGGCAGCCUUUUUGCUUCCCUCCCCCACCUAAAGAGUCACAUGUGGAACCCGAAUUCCCUGAAAGUCUGUGGUGACAGCGUUGGCCCACUGAGACUGGCAUCAGACAGGGCAAUGAUACAGCGAGAGGGAGAGGAGGGCCUUCUUCCCCCGUCUUCCUCCCCCUGGCUCCACUACCUGAUCGCUGAUUUUCAAUGAAAUUAUCUAUUUGUUUGGUUGUGUUGAGUCAGGGUCUCACAAUGCGGCCCUGGCUGGCCUGGAGCUUGCUGUGUAGACCAGGGCUGCUUACCUCUGCCUCCUGAGUCCUGAGACUAAAGGCUUGUACUAUACCACAUGCUAACAUCUUUCUUUUUUCUUUCUUCCUUUCUGUCUGCCUUUCUUUCUUUUUGUUUUUGUUUGUUUUUCUUUUUGUUUUUGUUUGAGUCAGAGUCUCCCUAUGUAAUUUUGGCUACCCUGGAAGGAACUAUGUAGACCAAGCUAGCCUCAAACUAAAAGAAAAAAAAAAUCCACCUGUCUCUCUCUCUCUCUCUCUCCAGAGUGCUGGGAUUAAAGGUGUGCACCAUCA